rnacentral:rRNA from 1 species
AUUGAACGCUGGCGGCAUGCUUUACACAUGCAAGUCGAACGGCAGCGCGGGCUUCGGCCUGGCGGCGAGUGGCGAACGGGUGAGUAAUACAUCGGAACGUGCCCAGCAGUGGGGGAUAGCUCGGCGAAAGCCGGAUUAAUACCGCAUACGACCUGAUGGUGAAAGCGGGGGAGCUUCGGACCUCGCGCUAUUGUAGCGGCCGAUGGCAGGUUAGCUAGUUGGUUGGGUAAACGCCUACCAAGGCGGCGAUCCGUAGCUGGUCUGUGAGGACGACCAGCCACACUGGGACUGAGCCACGGCCCAGACUCCUACGGGAGGCCGCAGUGGGGAAUUUUGGGCAAUGGGCGAAAGCCUGAUCCAGCAAUGCCGCGUGUGUGAUGAAGGCCUUCGGGUUGUAAAGCACUUUUGGCGGGAACGAAAAGGACUGUGCCAAUACCACGGUUCGAUGACGGUACCGGCAGAAUAAGCACCGGCUAACUACGUG